AAAAUGACGUUGGCCGGGCGCGGUGGCUCACGCCUGCAGUCCCAGCACUUUGGGAGGCCGAGACGGGCGGAUCACGAGGUCAGGAGAUCGAGACUAUCCUGGUUUACGCGGUGACACCCUGUGUCUACUAAAAAUACAAAAAAAAAAAAAAAAAAAAAAAUUGCCGGGCGUGGUGGCACGCGCCUGUAGUUCCAGGUGCUCGGGAGGCUGAGGCAGGAGAAUCGCUUGAACCCGGGAGGCGGAGCUUGCAGUGAGCCGAGACCGCGCCACUGCACUCCAGCUUGGGUGACAGAGUGAGACUCAGUCUCAGAAAAAGAAGAAGAAGAAAAAGAUACACACUCGAGCACACAUUUUCUCAGCAAAGCAAUUUACUUCUAUAGAAGGGUGGUGAAAUUGAAGCCCACGCAGCAGGGUUGCAACUGAAACUUCAUCUCCUCUGCAAAACCUUCCUGCAUUCCCAGACAACUUUUCUUCUGAGGCCUUGUUUGAUUCAUCCCCUUACCCCAGUGGAACUCAGAUAUUCAAAAUGGUAUUAAUUAAAACCACUGGCUGUCAUUGGUCCAUGC
rnacentral:lncRNA from 1 species